rnacentral:rRNA from 1 species
GACGGGCCCGCACAAGCAGCGGAGCGUGUGGUCUAAUUCGAUGUUACACGAAGAACCUUACCAGGGUUUGACAUGCAAGUGGUAGGAAGCCGAAAGGUGACCGACCCUUCGGGGAGCUUGCACAGGUGCUGCAUGGCUGUCGUCAGCUCGUGUCGUGAGAUGUUCGGUUAAGUCCGCUAACGAGCGCAACCCUCGCUGUGUGUUAUAUGUGUCACACGGGACUGCCGGUCUUAAGCCGGAGGAAGGUGGGGAUGAUGUCAAGUCAGCAUGGCCUUUAUAUCCUGGGCUACACACACGCUACAAUGGCCAACACAAUAGGUUGCUAAGCCGCGAGGUGGCGCCAAUCCAUAAAGUUGGUCUCAGUUCAGAUUGUAGGCUGCAACCCGCCUGCAUGAAGAUGGAGUUGCUAGUAACCGCAGGUCAGCUAUACUGCGGUGAAUACGUUCUCGGGGCUU